UCCCAGUGUUCCCCGGCUCCCUGGUCCCCAGUCUCCUUGGUUCCCCGUGCCUGUGUUUCCCCAGCAUCCUCCGAGUGCUGCGUCUGGGUCCUCUGUCCCCACCCCACACCACCCUUGUAACAAUUCUAUAUUAAGUGUCCUAUCCUGAUUUUGUAUUUGUAUUUGUUUUUUUUUUUUUACAGAUUUCUUCUCAGAGGAAGUAUUUGGCAUAACAAGUGAGAAUGUUAUCCUGUCAGGAGCUGGUAGACCUAACAGGAGAAGUAGAUGGUGCGAGACACUGAACAGUCCUUUAGGCAGGGGCUCUCCCCUACGUUUUGUGCGGAGAGAGCUCCAGUUCCGGAAUCAGUUCAGCUCUCGCCUUCAGUACCGCAAGCGUAAAUAAUACCGGGGACCCCGGAUCACGGUAAUCAGCCGGAUGUGUCGCCGGAAUCACCCGUCAACGUUGUAGAGCCCUCAUUCAGGCCUCAGAUGGGAGAUCACGUAACGGAUCACCGGUAGAAGCACGGGCACUGACAGCGGGGGAUAUCCUCAGUCAUCCGGACUCAGCAGAACCAUGUACGCCGAGGAAUCAGCCCAUACCAAACAACGGAACUCGGCAAAGGGAACUCAAGGAGACAAGUUGCAGUAGUAGCAGGCCAUCCACAUGCUCAAACAGACCCUGAGCAUCUAGGAGAGGCUGCCAAAAUUGCUGUCGGACUGCCCAUGAUCAACUCGUUUUGAGUAAUAUGAGUAAUGCUUUCCGACUAAUGGGUGACAUGCUGGCUGUGUACAGUGAUCAUGAUUAGUAAGAUGUUUUAUCUGAAAGUGUUUCGAUUCAUUUUUUUUAAAAUGUGUUUCAUUUGGUAAUUGUUUUUAUUUUUUUCAAUUUGCAAUAGUUAGUUAAAUGUGUUCUUCAUUUGAAAUUGUCGUUGAGAUUUUUUUUAGAUUUAAGUGUUUUGAUUUUUAAUGGAUGAGAACAAACCAUUAGGGCUUAGGUUAAGUUUAUAAGAUGGUCAGAUCAAAAUUUUCAGAAUGAGUCAAACUUGGUGGUGUAGUAUGGUGUAACUGAAAACAUUGUAAUUGAAAACGAGACCUCCUCCAGUCAGGUCUUAGAUCUGUUACACACUAUAAAUCAAGCUCUCGUUGAACUGGAACACUUGCCAACUGUUUUAUUAGAUGAAAUAAAUCAAAUGAAUUAAGACUGCAACCAAAA